UAGGGUACAGAAACCUGAUUCUGGGCUCCUUUUGGGAAGGAGGAUUUGGGGUCUGGUGAGAGCAAAUGAUUUUGCAAGUAUAAAACCAUGUCCAGAGAGGCUGUAGGGAUAUCUGUGAGCCCAGAGGAAACACCAGGGGAUCCUGUGUGAAGCACCCGGGCUUCAGCUGGGGUGGGAGGAGUGGAUGGGCCUCUCUCUAAUGACUUAUCCUGAUGUUUGUGUUUCUAAAGAUUUGAUUGUGGAGAGCAUGUCUGAUGACGAGGAUUUUGCAGCUUAAAGGGAGCUCCCGGGGUGAGUGAUGGAGGCGGGAUCGGACCCUGGCAGUUUGACGGCAACACCUGUGUUCCUCUGCACUGGGCCGUGGAUGACAUUACACACCUUGGUGAGAAUCAGGAAUUGAGGCUAAUCACAUCUGAAAUUGAGGGCUUAUGAUUUCUUCUCGGGUUUGAAACAUGCCCCCAGAUGAGCAAGACGGGGCUGCCACAUUGACGGAGCAGCUGCGGGACACACCCAAGAAACCUCCUGGAGAACACAGGGGACAUUCACGGCUGGAGGCUUCAUCUAUGGCCGGGGGCUUCAUCCAUGAGCUGGGGACUUCAUCCAUGGGCUGGGGACUUCAUCCAUGACUGGGGACCUCAUCCACGUCUGGAGACUUCAUCCGCGACUGGGGGCUUCAUCCAUGGGCUGGGGGAUUCAUCCACGGGCUGGGGGCUUCAUCCAUCACUGGGGGCUUCAUCCACGGGCUGGGGGCUUCAUCCAUGACUGGGGGCUUCAUCCACGGGCUGGGGGCUUCAUCCAUGGGCUGGGGGCUUCAUCCAUGACUGGGGGCUUCAUCCACGGGCUGGGGGCUUCAUCCAUGACUGGGGACUUCAUCCACGACUGGAGACUUCAUCCAUAGGCUGGGGGCUUCAUCUACAGCUGGAGACUUCAUCCACAGCAGGGGCUUCAUCCUUGGUUGGUUUGCCUGAUCUGUAUCUGAGCCACAGAUACAGAUUAU
rnacentral:lncRNA from 1 species